GCAUGCAUGGUUGAGUGGUCGAUAACAACAGGCUCAUAAUCUGUUCCCUUCUGGGCGUCGCAGGUUCGAGUCCUGCUGCAUGCA
rnacentral:tRNA from 1 species